rnacentral:rRNA from 1 species
GACGAACGCUGGCGGCGUGCUUAACACAUGCAAGUCGAGCGGAAGGGCCCUGCUUUUGUGGGGUGCCCGAGUGGCGACCGGGUGAGUAACACGUGAGUAUCCUGACCUUGACUUUGAGAUAACUUCAGGAAACUGGGGCUAAUACCGGUUCGGAGCUCCUGCUGCUUGGGGGGGGUGGGAAAGUUUGGGCGGUUGGGGAUGGACUCGCGGCUGAUCAGCUUGUUGGUGGGGUGGUGGCUUACCAGGGCUUCGUCGGGUAGCCGGCCUGAGAGGGUGACCGGCAACAGGUGGACUCAGAUACGGCCCACACUCGUACGGGAGGCAGCAGGAGGGAAUUUAGCCUGAUGGGCGGAAGCCUGAUGCAGCAACGCCGCGUUCUGGAUGAUGGCCUUCGGUUUGUAAACCGCUUUCGCCUGUGACGGUGCGUGAGUGACGGUAAUGGGUAAAGAAGCACCGGCUAACUACGUG